AUCACCGAGAAAACCUUAUACAAGAUAAAAAGGUGAAUGAUGGAGGCCAGUCUGCUUAGUAUGAAAAAUGUGAACAAUGAAUCUAUUGGCUUCACUGGCUCUCAUCCAAAGUACCCACCAGACACUUCUCCAUUAAAAAUUCCGCGUUCACCCAAGCAUGAUAUUUGUUGAAUAAAGAAGUACAAUCUUUGCCCACAGCCUUCAUCAGCAUAUCAACACCUCCAGGAUGAAACUUCACAUGUAUGGAGACAAAUUAUAGACACGGCCUUUUAGAACAGUCCACAUGGAACCUUCACUUUGAUGUUGUUUAACUUCAUUCAUAGAAAUAAGCCUCUUAUUAGACUGUCCCUUCAGUCCAGCAAGAUCAGGAUGAGUUCGAGUGAGCUUAAGCCAAUCCAUUUGGCUAUACCCCUUUUCAAAGGGAACCUUGGCUCGAGCGGCAGGCUUCCUGGCAGAAGGUUUUUGUCCUUUUGAAUUUGUAACUGAAGUUCCAACAUCUAAAGAUGCUACUUGUCUGGACACAUCACUAGAUUUUUUUAAAGAUGCCCCAUCAAUAACAUUGAAAGACAAAGAACCAACAGUUUCCUCCUUCUUGGAAGAAGCAUCAAUUGGCAAGCUAUCUUUCCAAGUGAUACCAGUACUUUGUCUUCCAUUGGUGCCAGUUGAGGACUCAUCUUUUAUAACCACACCAUCAAUAUCCGAAGCAAGCUUCUUCGCCUCAACACCAUCUUGGGCAGUAACACCAACCUGGCAAAAGGUGAAAUCAUCGUCAUUGUCCAUUCCACAGUAAAUAUAAUUCAAAUUAGCUCAAGCAAACUUCCCUCUCUAUUUAAACAACAAUCACCUACUCUUCUGUUCCACCAGAUGUUGAUUGGGGCUUAGGCUGUACUUGCAGGUUUUGUGCGUUGCAGGCGAGAUGAGAGAAUCA
rnacentral:misc_RNA from 1 species